UACGGAGGGUGCAAGCGUUAUCCGGAUUCACUGGGUUUAAAGGGUGCGUAGGUGGGGAGGUAAGUCAGCGGUGAAAUCCCCGAGCUUAACUUGGGAACUGCCAUUAAUACUAUCUCUCUUGAAUACCUUGGAGGUGAGCGGAAUAUGUCAUGUAGCGGUGAAAUGCUUAGAUAUGACAUAGAACACCAAUUGCGAAGGCAGCUCACUACACGGUCAUUGACACUGAGGCACGAAAGCGUGGGGAUCAAACAGG
rnacentral:rRNA from 1 species